CACACAUUCCUUAGAUCCAUCUUUGGGAUAUAUCUGCUCUGUCUUGCUGGUAGAUCUCUUUGCACUCUGGUGUUGGGUUCUGCAGUGUGCUGGCAGGUGACAUUCAUCAACUUUAGUGGUUAGUCAAAGGUGCUUGAGUUAUUGGCGUGUUAAAGUGAUAUACCUGCACAGUUGCCCCUCUGUUCUGAUGUGAAUAACCUGUUACACCAGGCUGUUUCUGCCAUCAGGACUUAGCUGCGGUGCGGACACA